UACGUAGGGUGCGAGCGUUGUCCGGAAUUAUUGGGCGUAAAGGGCUCGUAGGCGGUCUGUCACGUCAGGAGUGAAAACUCGGGGCUCAACCCCGAGCCUGCUUCUGAUACGGGCAGACUGGAGGUAUGCAGGGGAGAACGGAAUUCCUGGUGUAGCGGUGAAAUGCGCAGAUAUCAGGAGGAACACCGAUGGCGAAGGCAGGUCUCUGGGCCGAUACUGACGCUGAGGAGCGAAAGCGUGGGGAGCGAACAGG
rnacentral:rRNA from 1 species